rnacentral:misc_RNA from 1 species
AAGUCGUAACAAGGUUUCCGUAGGUGAACCUGCGGAAGGAUCAUUACAAAUCAUGUUCACUGGUUGGUCAGACUUGUUUGUCUGGCUAGCUAGGUGAACACAUUGGCACAGGGCAGCGGCACUGCAAGGUGACGCUGCCUUGAUGUUUACGCUUGUUUGUUUGACAGAGUAAAGUGAAGCUAAAAUAUAGACAACUUUUAACAAUGGAUCUCUUGGCUCUU